UACGGAGGGAGCUAGCGUUGUUCGGAAUUACUGGGCGUAAAGGGCGCGUAGGCGGCCUUCUAAGUCGGACGUGAAAUCCCUCGGCUUAACCGAGGAACUGCGUCCGAUACUGAAAGGCUUGAAUCCGGGAGAGGGAUGUGGAAUUCCAGGUGUAGCGGUGAAAUGCGUAGAUAUCUGGAGGAACACCGGUGGCGAAGGCGGCAUCCUGGACCGGUAUUGACGCUGAGGCGCGAAAGCUAGGGGAGCAAACAGG
rnacentral:rRNA from 1 species